rnacentral:rRNA from 1 species
AUGACUGAGCGACAGGACAUUUAUGAGGAUAGUGGUAAUUGUAUUCAAAAGGUGGACAAGUCCUUCGUUCAACAUGUCGUCACAGUUUGUGAGUUUUCUUCAUCCCAGGUUCUCCAUCUACUUCAUUGGGAAUUUCCUGAAGUGACUACUGCAUUAGUUUGCUUGCCGAUAUUACCUUGGGAUGGAAAGUGUAUGUGGCUGCCACCUGACCAGUUGUAUGGGCAGAAUAACAAGUGCAAUUUAUUAGGUAUGAGUGGUUGUUUCUUGUUUACCAGCAAUAACCGAUAUAUGAUCCAUUUUCUGCAUAUUUUGCUGCCCAACACCAGUUCGACCAAUUGCUCAGUAAACAGAGAUAUUAUACUACACUAUUCUGGAACAUGGCUUGAGAAGCAGUACCAUAGGCUCACGUGGCAAAACAGUAGGUGCAAAGGGAUCGUGUGUGCAGAGGCUACACAAUAUGGUUUGUACUCUUUUCCUUGGUACAUUGCAUGGUUGCUUGUGGAUUCCCCUCGUGCUCCUGUAGAAUUUAGUGGAAGAUUGGUUUCCAUGGACAUAUCUAUCAUCCUCGCUAUCUGUCCCGAGCAACUUCUAGUUCUGAAUACAAGCAUUUCUUUGUCAACUUGUUAUGGGGAUUUUCAGUUCAAGCAAUUGCAGUUGAAGUACAUUUGCACAAGAGAUCAAUGGAAGAUUGCUUGGUCCUCUUGGGGUUCUAAUCAUUUUCAGUGGCAUAUUCUACUUGGAUCUGAAAUGGAAAUUCCUUGGCUGUUCAUCAAGGUAUUUUCAGUUGUUGCACCUUGGCCAGAGUCAAAUGGUGAGAAGAUUUGCGAUCUGUACAAAUUCUUGCACUGCUCUGCUUUAUUUUCGCAAUCCUUGCUCAACAAAGACCAUCCAAGUGAAUGUUUGUCAAUUUUUCACAUUGUUGAAACUUCUAUGCGUAAAUUGGCGAGGCAUAUUCUUGGACAAGGGACAUGUUAUGUCAGGGUUCAGCUGAAGCUAUCAUGUUUCAGCACCGAUUGUGUUUUUUCUUGUGGACAUGACCAGUCCAAUGAGUCAAUGGUCAUGAUGAGGAGGCAGCCUAUGGGUAUUGGUAAGAGGAAAAUUAUGAAGACAAAUUAUUCUCAAGACAGUUCAUGGGAGUGGCAGCCUGUUCGUUGGUUGUCAUUCUUCUUAAUCCCAUCUGUAAUGCAGCUGAUCAGUGUACUGGACUGUCGCCAUCAUGACCAGGCGAAACACGCUGGAGACUACUGUACUUUUCAGGUUUUGCAACCACCUUGGCCACCACCGAUGCGAGCAGGUCUAAACAACCGUGAGACACAGAGUACUUACAGUUUGAAAUGCAGCCUUAUUGCAGUUAUGGAUGAUCUGCUCUUGGCUGUGAGGGUGCAUUCUAAUUGUUUUGAGAUCGUGAUUGAUGGUUUCUUGCAAGCUUGGUAUCUCUCAUGCCUCAGUGGUCAUAUUAUUCAGGGAGCUUAUGAUCUUAUGCAACGAAAGAUUUCAUGGUUAAUUGCAGCAAUCUGCCACCUGGUCAUUGAGAUAGGAGGAUCUCUUCAUGUCUCCAGGGUCGAGCUGGUGCCCUGUUCUGUACAAGCUCCUUGGGAUCCUGGUGGUUCGGCAUAUAGUCGGCUUGAGGGCAAGCCUAAUUUUAUGGAGGGGGGAUUGUCAGCGACCUGGGCCUCGCUGGCCUCAACCAGGACCCAGCCCAGAAGGAAGACAUGGACUACAUAUACAAGGGAGGCAGCUACACGUGAGUUGGCUUGGAUCGGAACGGCGGCUUCGGCCGAGGCUUGGCUUAGGCUAGGAUAG